AUGGAUUUCCACGUUUACAUCCUCAACCUGAAAAGUGGACAUUGUGGCAGCAUGGGCUCUGAACAUCUUCUCCUCUACUUCUUCUCAAGAACAUCCAAUGGGGAAGACACGUCGAGAAGCACACCUAACCAAACAUCCACACCACCUUCGGCGUUCCAUGUAUUAAACAAAAAACACCUAACAAAGAAGACCAAAUCUAGCAUCAAUGAUGGUGCAAAGACCUCUUCUGAAAAUGCAGUCCCAGAUGAAAACCCUUCUGCCAAAAGCCUGGAACUCUGUGACAGCUGUCCUUGGUGUGAUUCAGAAGUGUGUUUACCUGAAACCAACCAGAACACUGAGCCUUCUUCUGUGAAGGAUGACGCGAGCCAACAGAACAAAAGAGAUGCUCACAAGAUCACCUUACUCUCCAGUAAAGAGGAGCCAUAUUUGUCAUCUCUCAGCUCACCAAAGAGAUGUUUAUCUAACUGCCCUUCUGAAGAUGAAACUUUUAGGGUGGGAAAUGGCAAACGAAAAAGAAAAAGUGACUCCAGUCAGCCUGAGGAAUACAAAAGGUCUGAGAUCGGCUCGGAUUGGGAGGACAGAGGGAACAACCAGUCCAAUUGUGAUGAGAAUGAAAACAAGCCAGUCAAUCUGUCAUUCAAGCCAGAGCAAAUGAGAGAGAAGAGGUUUUUGUAUGAAAUUGCUGAAACAUUUGGUCAAAAUUCAGAAGAUGAAAACUCCUCUGCAAAAAUGCCGGAUCAACCGUCUGGAGUGCAUACAUCCUGGGAAAGAUGUCCUGUUCAUCAAAUUAAAAACAUUGCCGAUACGAGCAUCGAAGACUUAAACACUGACAUCAGUGAGCCAAUCAGAAUAAGCAAUUUUUUCCACUAUGCCAAAGUAAUUGAUUAUCUCAUCAGAUUUUGGUGGAAACAGGAAAAGCAUGAAAGACAGGAUGUCACCAUUUUAGUUGGUGGAUACUCAGUACGGUUGCAAGGAAGCGAUCUGUACUGUUGUCCAAUCAAAAAAUAUGAACAAGAGAUACAACUUCACGACAAAAAUCUUAAUUAUGCAAAAUUGAAACCAUCAGAAAAAACUGCUAAAAACUAUUCUGUGACAAUUUGGAACUGCAUUAAGGGCAACCAUGACAAAGUUGAAUCCUGUGUACUGACACCUCAAGACGCCACUGCAGUAUGCGCAAUUUUGUUCUCAGAAGUUAUUAGGUAUCCUAGCAUGUUUUUCCACAACAUUCUUUUGAUGCAUUUUUAUAAAUCAUGGCGUGAGUUUUGUGACUAUCAUCCCAUGGUAACAGGAGGUUCAUGGAAACAUCAGAAUAAAGAAGGAAAAGUUCCAGAAAAAGUUUUAAAGAGAGAACAAGAAAACCUUGUAUUUUUAGCUAAGAAAAUAAUGAGAGAUGAGGGAAAAAGAGGCACUCUAUUCCAAGUUACCUUACCAGCUGAAGAACCAGAACCUCUCAUGGACUCAUGCUGAUUGCAAAAUGUGUAAAUAGAAUACAAAUAUUAACUGGGGGCUCUUUUUGAGAGAGGCUUUUGGGGUAUGGGAGCUGAACACGCAGCAACCCUUGAAGUUUCACCCGAAGAGAGGUCUCCUAAACCAUUAAUAAAAAAAAAAAAAAAACUAUUUUUAUAAUAUUU
ensembl:lncRNA